AAAUUGAAGAGUUUGAUCAUGGCUCAGAUUGAACGCUGGCGGCAGGCCUAACACAUGCAAGUCGAGCGGUAGCACAGAGAGCUUGCUCUCGGGUGACGAGCGGCGGACGGGUGAGUAAUGUCUGGGAAACUGCCUGAUGGAGGGGGAUAACUACUGGAAACGGUAGCUAAUACCGCAUAAUGUCGCAAGACCAAAGUGGGGGACCUUCGGGCCUCAUGCCAUCAGAUGUGCCCAGAUGGGAUUAGCUAGUAGGUGGGGUAACGGCUCACCUAGGCGACGAUCCCUAGCUGGUCUGAGAGGAUGACCAGCCACACUGGAACUGAGACACGGUCCAGACUCCUACGGGAGGCAGCAGUGGGGAAUAUUGCACAAUGGGCGCAAGCCUGAUGCAGCCAUGCCGCGUGUGUGAAGAAGGCCUUCGGGUUGUAAAGCACUUUCAGCGGGGAGGAAGGCGGUGAGAUUAAUAACCUCAUCGAUUGACGUUACCCGCAGAAGAAGCACCGGCUAACUCCGUGCCAGCAGCCGCGGUAAUACGGAGGGUGCAAGCGUUAAUCGGAAUUACUGGGCGUAAAGCGCACGCAGGCGGUCUGUCAAGUCGGAUGUGAAAUCCCCGGGCUCAACCUGGGAACUGCAUUCGAAACUGGCAGGCUAGAGUCUUGUAGAGGGGGGUAGAAUUCCAGGUGUAGCGGUGAAAUGCGUAGAGAUCUGGAGGAAUACCGGUGGCGAAGGCGGCCCCCUGGACAAAGACUGACGCUCAGGUGCGAAAGCGUGGGGAGCAAACAGGAUUAGAUACCCUGGUAGUCCACGCCGUAAACGAUGUCGAUUUGGAGGUUGUGCCCUUGAGGCGUGGCUUCCGGAGCUAACGCGUUAAAUCGACCGCCUGGGGAGUACGGCCGCAAGGUUAAAACUCAAAUGAAUUGACGGGGGCCCGCACAAGCGGUGGAGCAUGUGGUUUAAUUCGAUGCAACGCGAAGAACCUUACCUGGUCUUGACAUCCACAGAACUUUCCAGAGAUGGAUUGGUGCCUUCGGGAACUGUGAGACAGGUGCUGCAUGGCUGUCGUCAGCUCGUGUUGUGAAAUGUUGGGUUAAGUCCCGCAACGAGCGCAACCCUUAUCCUUUGUUGCCAGCGGUUAGGCCGGGAACUCAAAGGAGACUGCCAGUGAUAAACUGGAGGAAGGUGGGGAUGACGUCAAGUCAUCAUGGCCCUUACGACCAGGGCUACACACGUGCUACAAUGGCAUAUACAAAGAGAAGCGACCUCGCGAGAGCAAGCGGACCUCAUAAAGUAUGUCGUAGUCCGGAUUGGAGUCUGCAACUCGACUCCAUGAAGUCGGAAUCGCUAGUAAUCGUAGAUCAGAAUGCUACGGUGAAUACGUUCCCGGGCCUUGUACACACCGCCCGUCACACCAUGGGAGUGGGUUGCAAAAGAAGUAGGUAGCUUAACCUUCGGGAGGGCGCUUACCACUUUGUGAUUCAUGACUGGGGUGAAGUCGUAACAAGGUAACCGUAGGGGAACCUGCGGUUGGAUCACCUCCUUACCUUAAAGAA
rnacentral:rRNA from 1 species